AGCUGUGGUGGCUUUCCAUUGUUGCUGCAAUAAUGUCCUUCACUUACUCAUCAAUUGGUCUUGGACUUGGAGUUGCUGAAGUUGCAGAAGCUGAAAAAUUUCGGGGAAGUCUAACUGGAAUAAGCAUUGGCCCCGGCGUCACUGAGACCCAGAAGCUAUGGAGGAGCUUCCAGGCACUUGGUGACAUCGCUUUUGCCUAUUCUUACUCCAUCAUCCUCAUUGAAAUUCAGGACACAAUCAAAUCCCCACCAUCAGAGGCCAAGACAAUGAAAAAAGCAAGUCUAAUAAGUGUUAUAGUGACAACUCUUUUCUACAUGCUCUGUGGCUGCUUCGG
rnacentral:misc_RNA from 1 species